rnacentral:rRNA from 1 species
CACCAGCGCCUCGAGUGGGGGUCGCGAUUAUUGGGUCUAAAGCGUCCGUAGCAGGCUUUGUAAAUGCUUUGUGAAAUCGGCAGGCUUAACCUGCCGGCGUGCAGAGUAGACUGCAGAGCUCGAGACCGGGAGAGGUUAGAAGUAUUCCUAGGGUACCGGUAAAAUGGGUUAAUCCUAGGAGGACUACCUAUGGCGAAGGCAUCUAACCAGAACGGUUCUGACUGUGAGGGACGAAAGCUAGGGGAGCAAAACGG